GACCAGACUGUAAAUUAUAUCCUUAUAAACGGCGCGUUCUGACAUCAGAACGCGCCGUUUAUAAGCUAGAGACGUCACUUGCCGCUGCUUCUCUUUUCCUCCACUGCGUCCUGCUUCUGUAAUUCGCUGGCUCAGCUUUUUCUUUACACGGCGCGCUCCUCCUGUGUCAUAACUAUGGCCUGUUUAAAUCAGUCAGUGUAAGGUUCGGCUCUCCCUAGCCCCACCCCCUCCGUCUGGCUCCCGUCACAUGAUGCUUCUAUCAUCUCCCUCCCCUUCGCAAAGUGCCUCUCUGUCUCACUCCCCCUCCCUUCCACUCACCGUUUUAACUUUAACUUUCUACUCCUCCGUGUCUGCUCCUUUAGCUCCCCCUCCACGAUGUCAUUCCAUUCUCCCUUACACAGUGAAACUCCGGUUUUGUUCCGCCUUUAGCCAUCACUCUCUGUUCCUGAAUUCUGUCACCUUCCUUUAUUCACCCUCCCCCCCUCAGCUGUCUUUAACCUGCAACUGACGACGUCACUCAAUGCAGGACAAGGAAAAUGAAAAUAGCAGAUUGAAUUCAAAAGGAAACUACGGCAAAAAUUCACCGCAAAAAAAAGCUGCCAAGACAAAACUGUCCAGAGACAAAAAAGUCACCAUGAGAAAAAACACCCAUUGGAUUUAAUGCAUUUGGACAAAAAAAGUUGCCGCAAGAAAAAUACCCAUUGACUUUAAUAAAAGUGAGAAAAAAUGGUUGCACAAGUAAAAAUAAAUUCUGGUACCCUUUCCAUGCCUUACUUAUA